GGGGAUUCGCCCACAGCAUGUGGAAGAAUGGGGCCGGGGUGGGAGCCAGUGUGAUAAAAUACAUGGAGCACAAAAAGAGUGAUGCUGGUUCAUCCUGGGAGCAAGAAUCUUGGGGAGUGGGAUCCCCACUCCCCACUCCCCACUCCAGCUGGGCGCUGCUGACACGGGCUGGGACAUUGUGGGGUCAUCCUGAGCACUGUGGGGGGUGGAGCACACCCCUAGGCCCCCCACCCACUGUAUGCCAGGACCCCCUCCAGUCAUGACAACCACAGACAUCCCCAGACAUUGCCCAGUGUUCCUUGGGGGCAGGAUCACAAGGCUCUUUCAGGAGAACAGCUUGUCCGCGGAGAGAACUGAUAAUUGUGGGCAUUUCAACACACAUCUGAAGCAGGGGACCAACCAGGAGAAAGAAACAGUCUCUGACGUGGCACGCCGGGUUGGAGUUUGUCCCUCACACGAGGGCCACCCUCUCGAGAUAAAAGAUCCGGGAGGCGCUUUCAGCUGAAAUGUUCACAAACUCCCAGAGAACAGGGGCUAUCAGGAAAACACCGGCUGCUGGGAGGUCACUGAGCUCUGCCUCAGGAGGGAGGGCUGGUGAAAAGCUGGAAAAAUCGUUCUCAGCUAAGAAUCA